UACGGAGGGUGCAAGCGUUGCUCGGAAUUAUUGGGCGUAAAGGGUAGGUAGGUGGUCUCAUUUGUCUGGGGUGAAAGCCUUGAGCUUAACUCAAGAAGUGCCCUAGAAACGGUGAGACUAGAGUUCUGGAGAGGGUCGUGGAAUUCCCGGUGUAGCGGUGAAAUGCGUAGAGAUCGGGAGGAACACCAGAGGCGAAGGCGGCGACCUGGACAGAUACUGACACUAAACUACGAAAGCGUGGGGAGCAAACAGG
rnacentral:rRNA from 1 species